rnacentral:rRNA from 1 species
UACGGAGGAUGCGAGCGUUAUCCGGAUUUAUUGGGUUUAAAGGGUGCGUAGGCGGCACGCCAAGUCAGCGGUGAAAUUUCCGGGCUCAACCCGAAAUGUGCCGUUGAAACUGGCGAGCUAGAGUGCACAAGAGGCAGGCGGAAUGCGUGGUGUAGCGGUGAAAUGCAUAGAUAUCACGCAGAACCCCGAUUGCGAAGGCAGCCUGCUAGGGUGCGACAGACGCUGAGGCACGAAAGCGUGGGUAUCGAACAGG